ACGUUAAAAUUGAAUAAAAAUCAUUAAUAUUUAGUUAAAUGUAAAUUUUUAUAAGAAUUAUAAAUAAUAAAAGGUGAAAUUUGAUUAUUAUUUUAUAUUAUUUAUAAUUGUUAUUAAAGCUAAGAAAUCUGGUUUAUAAACUAGGAUUAGAUACCCUAUUAUUUCAGAAAAAACAUAAAAAUUAGAUUAAUAUUAGUUAUGAACUUUAAAAUUAAAAAAUUUGGCGGUGAUUUAAUCUAUUCAGAGGAACUUGUUUUUUAAUCGAUAAACCACGAAGAAUCUUACUUGUUUUUGUUAUUAAAUUAUAUUAGUUUGUAUACCAUCAUUGUCAGAUAAUUCUAAUAAGAAAAAUUAUUAAAAAUAAGUAAAUUAUUUAAAUUAGAUCAUGGUGCAGCUUAUAAAUAAGUUAAAAUGAGUUACAAUAAAUUAUUUUAUAAUGGAAUAAUAAAAUAAAUUUUAUUAUAAAGGAGGAUUUGAUAGUAUUAUAAGUUUAAUAAGCUUAUAAUAAAUUAGCUCUAAAUCAUGUACAUAUCGCCCGUCGCUUUCAUUAUGUAAAAUGAAAUAAGUCGUAACAUA
rnacentral:rRNA from 1 species